rnacentral:tRNA from 1 species
GGCCUGGUGGUCUAGUGGUAUGAUUCUCGCUUAGGGUACACCCAAAAGCAUGUCGGCGAGAGGUCCCGGGUUCAAUUCCCGGCCAAGCCU